UACGUAGGGGGCUAGCGUUGUCCGGAUUUAUUGGGCGUAAAGAGCGUGUAGGCGGCCAGGUAGGUCUGGUGUGAAAACUCGAGGCUUAACCUCGAGAUGUCAUCGGAAACCAUUUGGCUAGAGUCCGGAAGAGGAGAGUGGAAUUCCUGGUGUAGCGGUGAAAUGCGCAGAUAUCAGGAAGAACACCAAUGGCGAAAGCAGCUCUCUGGGACGGUACUGACGCUGAGACGCGA
rnacentral:rRNA from 1 species